rnacentral:rRNA from 1 species
UACGUAGGGUGCGAGCGUUGUCCGGAAUUACUGGGCGUAAAGAGCUCGUAGGUGGUUUGUCGCGUUGUUCGUGAAAACUCACAACUCAAUUGUGGGCGUGCGGGCGAUACGGGCAGACUGGAGUACUGCAGGGGAGACUGGAAUUCCUGGUGUAGCGGUGGAAUGCGCAGAUAUCAGGAGGAACACCGGUGGCGAAGGCGGGUCUCUGGGCAGUUACUGACGCUGAGGAGCGAAAGCGUGGGGAGCGAACAGG